UGAGGAAUCUUGCGCAAUGGGGGCAACCCUGACGCAGCAACGCCGCGUGAGUGAGGAAGGCCUUCGGGUCGUAAAGCUCUGUCGGAUGGAAAGAAACGGAUGCGGGUUAAUAGCCUUCAUCCCUGACGGUACCAUCAGAGGAAGCACCGGCUAACUCCGUGCCAGCAGCCGCGGUAAUACGGGGGGUGCAAGCGUUGUUCGGAAUCAUUGGGCGUAAAGCGCGUGUAGGCGGCUUGGUAAGUCAGGUGUGAAAGCCCUGGGCGCAACCCAGGAAUGGCACUUGAAACUGCCUUGCUUGAGUACGGGAGAGGAAAGCGGAAUUCCUGGUGUAGAGGUGAAAUGCGGAGAUAUCAGGAGGAACACCGGUGGCGAAGGCGGCUUUCUGGCCCAAUACUGACGCUGAGACGCGAAAGCGUGGGGAGCAAACA
rnacentral:rRNA from 1 species